CCUACGGGAGGCAGCAGUGGGGAAUUUUGGACAAUGGGCGAAAGCCUGAUCCAGCCAUGCCGCGUGCAGGAUGAAGGCCUUCGGGUUGUAAACUGCUUUUGUACGGAACGAAACGGCCUUUUCUAAUAAAGAGGGCUAAUGACGGUACCGUAAGAAUAAGCACCGGCUAACUACGUGCCAGCAGCCGCGGUAAUACGUAGGGUGCAAGCGUUAAUCGGAAUUACUGGGCGUAAAGCGUGCGCAGGCGGUUAUAUAAGACAGUUGUGAAAUCCCCGGGCUCAACCUGGGAACUGCAUCUGUGACUGUAUAGCUAGAGUACGGUAGAGGGGGAUGGAAUUCCGCGUGUAGCAGUGAAAUGCGUAGAUAUGCGGAGGAACACCGAUGGCGAAGGCAAUCCCCUGGACCUGUACUGACGCUCAUGCACGAAAGCGUGGGGAGCAAACAGGAUUAGAUACCCUGGUAGUCCACGCCCUAAACGAUGUCAACUGGUUGUUGGUCUUCACUGACUCAGUAACGAAGCUAACGCGUAGAGUUCGACCGCGUGGGGAGGUACGGUCCGGCGAGUUAGUUAACGUACGAAAGUUAAGUAGAGGCGNGNGAGAGCGACGGACGACGACGAGGAGGAGG
rnacentral:rRNA from 1 species